rnacentral:rRNA from 1 species
AGAUUGAACGCUGGCGGCAGGCCUAACACAUGCAAGUCGAGCGGCAGCACGGGUACUUGUACCUGGUGGCGAGCGGCGGACGGGUGAGUAAUGCCUAGGAAUCUGCCUGGUAGGUGGGGGAUAACGCUCGGAAACGGACGCUAAUACCGCAUACGUCCUACGGGAGAAAGCAGGGGACCUUCGGGCCUUGCGCUAUCAGAUGAGCCUAGGUCGGAUUAGCUAGUUGGUGAGGUAAUGGCUCACCAAGGCGACGAUCCGUAACUGGUCUGAGAGGAUGAUACAGUACACACUGGUAACUGGAAGACCACGGUACCAGACCUACCGUACGGGAGCGAGCGAGGUAGGGAAUAGUUAGGAAC